GCCUACNAGGNCGACGACGGGUAGCUCGGCCUGANAGGGCGACCGGCCACACUGGGACUGAGACACGGCCCAGACUCCUACGGGAGGCAGCAGUGGGGAAUAUUGCGCAAUGGGCGAAAGCCUGACGCAGCGACGCCGCGUGGGGGAUGAAGGCCUUCGGGUUGUAAACCCCUUUCAGCAGGGACGAAGCGAAAGUGACGGUACCUGCAGAAGAAGCGCCGGCUAACUACGUGCCAGCAGCCGCGGUAACACGUAGGGCGCAAGCGUUGUCCGGAAUUAUUGGGCGUAAAGAGCUCGUAGGCGGUCUGCUACGUCCGCUGUGAAAACCUAGGGCUUAACCCUGGGCUUGCAGUAGAUACGGGCAGACUAGAGGUAGGUAGGGGAGAAUGGAAUUCCCGGUGUAGCGGUGAAAUGCGCANAUAUCGGGAGGAACACCGGUGGCGAAGGCGGUUCUCUGG
rnacentral:rRNA from 1 species